rnacentral:rRNA from 1 species
GGACCCGCACAAGUAGUGGAGCAUGUGGUUUAAUUCGAAGAUACGCGCAGAACCUUACCAACACUUGACAUGUUCGUCGCGACUCUGAGAGAUUAGAGUUUUCGGUUCGGCCGGACGAAACACAGGGUGCUCAUGGCUGUCGUCAGCUCGUGUCGUGAGAUGUUGGGGUUAAGUCCCGCAACGAGCGCAACCCCUCACUUUUUAGUUGCCAUCAUUUAGUUGGGCACUCUGAAAGAACUGCCAGUGAUAAGCUGGAGGAAGGUGGGGGAUGACGUCAAGUCCUAUGGCCCCUUACGUGUUGGGCUACACACGUGCUACAAUGGGUAUCUCAACAGGAAAGCAAGACGGCGACGUU